rnacentral:rRNA from 1 species
GACGAACGCUGGCGGCGUGCUUAACACAUGCAAGUCGAACGGAAAGGCCCUGCUUUUGUGGGGUGCUCGAGUGGCGAACGGGUGAGUAACACGUGAGUAACCUGCCCUUGACUUUGGGAUAACUUCAGGAAACUGGGUCUAAUACCGGAUAGGAUCUCCUGCUGCAUGGUGGGGGUUGGAAAGUUUCGGCGGUUGGGGAUGGACUCGCGGCUUAUCAGCUUGUUGGUGGGGUAGUGGCUUACCAAGGCUUUGACGGGUAGCCGGCAUGAGAGGGUGACCGGCCACAAGGGGACUGAGAGACGGCACAGACGCGAACGGGAGGCAGCAGUGGGGAAUAUUGCACAAUGGGCGGAAGCCUGAUGCAGCAACGGAGCGUGCGGGAUGACGGCCUUCGGGUUGUAAACCGCUUUCGCCUGUGACGAAGCGUGAGUGACGGUAAUGGGUAAAGAAGCACCGGCUAACUACGUG